rnacentral:tRNA from 1 species
AGUGAAAUAGAGCAGUAUGGUUUAGCUUGUCGGGCUCAUGACCCGAAGGUCUGUGGUUCAAAUCCACUUUUCACUA